rnacentral:tRNA from 1 species
UCCCUGGUGGCUCAGUGGUAAAGACCUUGCCUGCAAUGCAGGAGACCCCAGUUCAAUCUCUGGGUCGGGAAG